GAGCCUUAAACUAAUGAGUAAGGAAAAAUGCAAGCCUUGGUGACGCUUGGCUUCGCCUAUAAUGGUUAGUUUGAAUUUUUGUACAGGCACGUACGUAUUCAUUGUUGUGGACCCGUUCUG
rnacentral:snRNA from 1 species